GAUCAAGUAAUACCAUAUCACCUGAAGGCUGCCAAUUUCACGUUAAACAAUAUAUUUAAAUUUUCGCGUGAACAGCCUUCAUUUGGUGACAAUAUAUUAAACAUAUACAAUUAUUUUCAUUUGAAUCUAAAAGUUAAAACUAUUUAAUAUAAUAAUUAGUAGAAGCAUAGAAUGAAAAAUGGCAAUGCCAGAAAAUGUGGAUUCUCCUCGCCGCAUUCCGAAAAUUAGCUUAAAGAAAUUUGAACAAGAAACCGAACGCAUUGGAGAUUCAACUUCCUUUUCUAAGAAAACUUCCAAAACCCAUACACCUAAAAGUAUGCACGAUUGGUGUAUAAUGGGUAUCAAUACCAUUCGUGAUCCCAUUGCUGAUAUUCAAGAAAAACGUGGUAUUUCCAGACACCAGCGCUUUACAUUCGUUGACUUAAUGUCAGCACUCUUCAAUCACUCUUAUAAUUCCUGCCUGUGCAUCAUUACAAUGAUUAUGGGUCUUUUGCCUCUCCUCGAAGGAUUACUCAAUCUUGUUCGUUUUAUUCUGGACAAAAUACUGGAGAUUGACGAGUGCAAGAACAUAGGAGAAAAAGUCUGCAAAACGUUUAUAUUUAUUGGUGAAUUAUUUGUGAUUUUUGUGAUAGUGUCCUUAAUAGUGACGAUUAUAUUACUCCCGGUGGCGAAUUUGAUACAGUACACUUUGUACAAAAUCUGGCGCUUAGCUAAUUAGUUCUAAUACGAAAAAAAAAAUUUGUAUAUAUUUUGUAUAUCAAGUAACAAAGAAAACAAACAAUGUAAUUAAAUGAAGGUAAAAUAUAAUGUGAUUUAAAAACCA